GUCGCACCUACCGAUUGAAUGGUCCGGUGAGGCCUCGGGAUUGUGGCCUGGUCACUUUAUUGGGGGUUGGCUGCGAGAACUUGUCCAAACCUUAUCAUUUAGAGGAAGGUG
rnacentral:rRNA from 1 species